GGUUUACUCCGUCACCAAAACUGCUCUGUCAGCAGAGGACCUGGAGUGCCGAGGAUAGAGCACCAAGUCAGCUUGGGACAGACAUGAACACAUAUGCACCAAGUAGUCUUGAUAGCUACACUAAGCAUGAGCCUUGAAGCCUCAAGAGCAUGGAGCAUUUAUGUUCUACAAGUCAACUUGUGUCAGAUAUUAUCAAAGCAAUCAGCUGAAGAAUGAAUAAGGAGGGAUGAUGCUGUAGUGUGAACCUUGACUGUACCUCAAGGGCUUAUCUGCUAAAGUUUAGUCCAGGAUGGCAGUGUUUCGGGGAACUGGAAACAUCAGAACUCCUUAAUGAGGUAAG